rnacentral:rRNA from 1 species
UUAAGCGACUAAGCGUACACGGUGGAUGCCCUGGCAGUCAGAGGCGAUGAAGGACGUGCUAAUCUGCGAUAAGCGUCGGUAAGGUGAUAUGAACCGUUAUAACCGGCGAUUUCCGAAUGGGGAAACCCAGUGUGUUUCGACACACUAUCAUUAACUGAAUCCAUAGGUUAAUGAGGCGAACCGGGGGAACUGAAACAUCUAAGUACCCCGAGGAAAAGAAAUCAACCGAGAUUCCCCCAGUAGCGGCGAGCGAACGGGGAGCAGCCCAGAGCCUGAAUCAGUGUGUGUGUUAGUGGAAGCGUCUGGAAAGGCGCGCGAUACAGGGUGACAGCCCCGUACACAAAAAUGCACAUAUUGUGAGCUCGAUGAGUAGGGCGGGACACGUGGUAUCCUGUCUGAAUAUGGGGGGACCAUCCUCCAAGGCUAAAUACUCCUGACUGACCGAUAGUGAACCAGUACCGUGAGGGAAAGGCGAAAAGAACCCCGGCGAGGGGAGUGAAAAAGAACCUGAAACCGUGUACGUACAAGCAGUGGGAGCACGCUUAGGCGUGUGACUGCGUACCUUUUGUAUAAUGGGUCAGCGACUUAUAUUCUGUAGCAAGGUUAACCGAAUAGGGGAGCCGAAGGGAAACCGAGUCUUAACUGGGCGUUAAGUUGCAGGGUAUAGACCCGAAACCCGGUGAUCUAGCCAUGGGCAGGUUGAAGGUUGGGUAACACUAACUGGAGGACCGAACCGACUAAUGUUGAAAAAUUAGCGGAUGACUUGUGGCUGGGGGUGAAAGGCCAAUCAAACCGGGAGAUAGCUGGUUCUCCCCGAAAGCUAUUUAGGUAGCGCCUCGUGAAUUCAUCUCCGGGGGUAGAGCACUGUUUCGGCAAGGGGGUCAUCCCGACUUACCAACCCGAUGCAAACUGCGAAUACCGGAGAAUGUUAUCACGGGAGACACACGGCGGGUGCUAACGUCCGUCGUGAAGAGGGAAACAACCCAGACCGCCAGCUAAGGUCCCAAAGUCAUGGUUAAGUGGGAAACGAUGUGGGAAGGCCCAGACAGCCAGGAUGUUGGCUUAGAAGCAGCCAUCAUUUAAAGAAAGCGUAAUAGCUCACUGGUCGAGUCGGCCUGCGCGGAAGAUGUAACGGGGCUAAACCAUGCACCGAAGCUGCGGCAGCGACACUAUGUGUUGUUGGGUAGGGGAGCGUUCUGUAAGCCUGUGAAGGUGUGCUGUGAGGCAUGCUGGAGGUAUCAGAAGUGCGAAUGCUGACAUAAGUAACGAUAAAGCGGGUGAAAAGCCCGCUCGCCGGAAGACCAAGGGUUCCUGUCCAACGUUAAUCGGGGCAGGGUGAGUCGACCCCUAAGGCGAGGCCGAAAGGCGUAGUCGAUGGGAAACAGGUUAAUAUUCCUGUACUUGGUGUUACUGCGAAGGGGGGACGGAGAAGGCUAUGUUGGCCGGGCGACGGUUGUCCCGGUUUAAGCGUGUAGGCUGGUUUUCCAGGCAAAUCCGGAAAAUCAAGGCUGAGGCGUGAUGACGAGGCACUACGGUGCUGAAGCAACAAAUGCCCUGCUUCCAGGAAAAGCCUCUAAGCAUCAGGUAACAUCAAAUCGUACCCCAAACCGACACAGGUGGUCAGGUAGAGAAUACCAAGGCGCUUGAGAGAACUCGGGUGAAGGAACUAGGCAAAAUGGUGCCGUAACUUCGGGAGAAGGCACGCUGAUAUGUAGGUGAAGUCCCUCGCGGAUGGAGCUGAAAUCAGUCGAAGAUACCAGCUGGCUGCAACUGUUUAUUAAAAACACAGCACUGUGCAAACACGAAAGUGGACGUAUACGGUGUGACGCCUGCCCGGUGCCGGAAGGUUAAUUGAUGGGGUUAGCCGCAAGGCGAAGCUCUUGAUCGAAGCCCCGGUAAACGGCGGCCGUAACUAUAACGGUCCUAAGGUAGCGAAAUUCCUUGUCGGGUAAGUUCCGACCUGCACGAAUGGCGUAAUGAUGGCCAGGCUGUCUCCACCCGAGACUCAGUGAAAUUGAACUCGCUGUGAAGAUGCAGUGUACCCGCGGCAAGACGGAAAGACCCCGUGAACCUUUACUAUAGCUUGACACUGAACAUUGAGCCUUGAUGUGUAGGAUAGGUGGGAGGCUUUGAAGUGUGGACGCCAGUCUGCAUGGAGCCGACCUUGAAAUACCACCCUUUAAUGUUUGAUGUUCUAACGUUGACCCGUAAUCCGGGUUGCGGACAGUGUCUGGUGGGUAGUUUGACUGGGGCGGUCUCCUCCUAAAGAGUAACGGAGGAGCACGAAGGUUGGCUAAUCCUGGUCGGACAUCAGGAGGUUAGUGCAAUGGCAUAAGCCAGCUUGACUGCGAGCGUGACGGCGCGAGCAGGUGCGAAAGCAGGUCAUAGUGAUCCGGUGGUUCUGAAUGGAAGGGCCAUCGCUCAACGGAUAAAAGGUACUCCGGGGAUAACAGGCUGAUACCGCCCAAGAGUUCAUAUCGACGGCGGUGUUUGGCACCUCGAUGUCGGCUCAUCACAUCCUGGGGCUGAAGUAGGUCCCAAGGGUAUGGCUGUUCGCCAUUUAAAGUGGUACGCGAGCUGGGUUUAGAACGUCGUGAGACAGUUCGGUCCCUAUCUGCCGUGGGCGCUGGAGAACUGAGGGGGGCUGCUCCUAGUACGAGAGGACCGGAGUGGACGCAUCACUGGUGUUCGGGUUGUCAUGCCAAUGGCACUGCCCGGUAGCUAAAUGCGGAAGAGAUAAGUGCUGAAAGCAUCUAAGCACGAAACUUGCCCCGAGAUGAGUUCUCCCUGACUCCUUGAGAGUCCUGAAGGAACGUUGAAGACGACGACGUUGAUAGGCCGGGUGUGUAAGCGCAGCGAUGCGUUGAGCUAACCGGUACUAAUGAACCGUGAGGCUUAACCUU